rnacentral:lncRNA from 1 species
GGUAGUCACUGUAUUUUAUUGGAAAACAUUGAUAUAUAUUUUUCUUCACAGCUUGAACUGAACACAAUAUUGCCCGGUUUAAAAAAAACAAAACCAAAACAUUCCGAAAAUGUCCACAGCCUCACGCCUACCUGCCCUUACCCUCAGCUCUUGGCUGGGUCUCCCACUAUGCCCCAUCCCUCCUUCCCUCAGAGGCGAGGGCAAAAGGAAGAGAUGAGGGGCAUGGAGAGAGACUCAGGGAAGAAGGAGAAAGAGCAAUCAUGCAGCUUGGGACAAAUCUUUUGUUGCUUUAUCAGAUUCUCAGUCAAUCAAUUGGUGUUUGCUAGAACCGGGGUACGCAGGGGAGUGUUGAAGAGAGAGUGCGCGCGCGAGAAGAGAGAGAUCAAGAGAACGGGCAUCGCCAGCUGCCCGGGGGGCCUUCACUUUGCAGUCAUCAUCUGUACAAACUCUGUGGAGUGAAGCAGAGAGAGAGGAGGUCAGGCGGGCAGGCUAAGUGGCGAGCGGCCCUCCCCAACAAGAGGGAUCUGGGGGCUUGUUCCUGAAGCUGCGAUUCUCUUCUUGUUCCAGAGAUCAAGCCUGGCCUUGACUCACCUUCAUAAUUGACCUGGCCAUCUCCAUCGAUGUCAGCCUCCCUGAUCAUCUCAUCCACCUCCUCAUCGGUCAGCUUCUCCCCCAGGUUCGUCAUUACGUGACGCAGCUCUGCGGCGCUGAUGUAGCCAUUCCCAUCCUGGGGGUUGGGGAUAAAGCCUUUCACUGGGCACUUCUCCCGGUGGGGAGAGAGGCAGUGAGAGGGGUGGCUGUCAUCACCAUCCCUCAGCAGUGAGCACAGUGAGGGAGGCUGCCUGAGGUGGCAGAGCAGGUUGGCAAUGAGGCUGGCACCGGGACCCGGACCUCCUGGAAGUGGUAGCUCCGUGGCUCCAGUUCCGCCUGUCUGCCUGAAGGCUGGCGUCAGUCUCAGAGCCGCCCCUGGAGAGGGCUGCUUACCUUGUCAAAGACACGGAACGCCUCUCGGAUCUCCUCCUCACUGUCUGUGUCCUUCAUCUUUCUGGCCAUCAUGGUCAGGAACUCCGGGAAGUCAAUGGUCCCGUUCCCUGGAAGGUGGGGAAAGGAUGGAGAAUGCUCUUGGCCUGGGCCCUGAGAGACACGGGCUCAUCCAUCACCCUGAGAGAGGCUCCCUGCAGUCACUCGGGGUGACCAGGAGCAGGGCUGCCCACGCGCUCUGUGGGGCUCACCAUCUGCAUCCACCUCAUUGAUCAUAUCCUGCAGCUCUGCUUCAGUGGGGUUCUGUCCCAGGGAUCUCAUCACUGUCCCCAACUCCUUGGUGGUGAUAGUGCCAUCUCCAUCCUUGUCAAAGAGGGAGAAGGCCUCCUUGAACUCUGGGGGAAGAAGGGGGAGGAGUCAGAGGUCACAAGGUCCACAGGAGAAUCCUUACCUCUGGAUGCUGGAUGCCUUCCCUGGAGGAAGGCCAAGGGCAUCAGUCCCACCUAAAGAAACUGAGACAGACUUCAAGUCCCACGCAACCAGCUCUCUCUCCUCAGUGCUCAGGGCAAAGCCCUUCCAACCUUCAUUCAACAGUUAUUGAACAUCAACACUGUGCUAGGUGAAGCUAUUUUUCUGGCCAGCCAGUGAAGACAGUGGGGAAAAUGGUCUGACAGCUGUCCUUAGAUGAUUCUACAUUUCUGUUUGGUCCCUGGCUUUGACUUCUCCCUUGAAAUGAUGAAAUGAACCAAAGUCAUGGAGUGA